UAAGGGCUGGUGUGGGGAAAUAAAAGAGUUCCUACGGAAUUUACACGAAGUUAUUUUUGAUUAUUUCCGGGCCUUUCAGGCAUAUGAGUUUAGCUUUGCAAGAUCUCCUCACCGUAUAGCAGAUCAAAGGGCAUUUGUAACACUUCUCAUUAUUCCAAAAUGUCUUUUUUUAAACAUCGUCUGCAUUGACUGGCCUUCAAUAAUUGGCUAUUGAUCAAAUGGCGCGAAAGUUCAUUCCCAUAAUACCACUACUGACGCAUGCGCGUAAGAAGGCAUUUUGCACAAUGUGUUUGUGUUUGUGAUUGUGUAGUGGUGCGGAAUAUGAUCUCAAGACAGAUAAUGAGUGAGGAGAGCCAUCCUAGAACCUUGUACGUCGGGAAUUUGGAUGCCUCUGUAUCUGAAGAUCUUGUCUGUGCCUUGUUUUCUCAGAUCGGACCUGUCAAGGGAUGCAAGAUCAUCCGUGAGACUCCAUGUGUUGGUCUCCAUGGAUUGAUUCAGUGGUCCACUUGAUACUCAUUGGUACUCGAGUAUGCAGGUUUGUACACUUCUCUCCUUGCUCUUUCUCUGCAUGAAAUUCCGAGUGCAGCUGUGAAAGAAUAUUCUCGCCCUUGGAGGAAUAUUGAUAUAUAAAAGCAUAAAGGAAGGUACAAUUUUUUAUUCUUUUUUGUGCCCUCGUGUUUGUGUCCCUCCACUGAUUGUGAAGUCCUGACUCCCACUACACUUGUAUUUCACACCAGUCUGUUAGUCAGCACGUGUGCCUACACUCACACUCAAACACACACUGACACACACACACACACACACAAGUCGUAUCAGUAGUAGUUACUUGAACGGCUCCUUAGACAUGUGGAACGAACACACCCACUUAGAUGUUGACAGAAAUUUUGCGUUGAAUUGUCAGUGUUGCUUUUCCGACAGAUUGGGGUCCAGCAGGAGCACCACUUGGCCUGAAGACUUGCUUUAUAAAAAGGUAUAUUUUUCUUUAUAUUUUCUAUCUGUUCUUGGACACUACACAAAACGUUAAACAUGGGGACAUAUCGACAUGAUGUGGUAUAUUUUUUUGUUUUGUGUUAUUUCCUGAUACAGUGUUUACAAUAGCGACCAAUAUCAACAAAUUAAACAUUCAAUGCGGCCUGCUGAUCGGUAAGCUUGUGUAUCUCUUCGUUCACCAAGGUCCACUGUACUCGCCACAUUGAGCGUGUGUUAGGGCAAGGAUUGGCAGUUCAACGUUGCAGAGAUGCCACCCCUCCCACUGUCUAGCUCUGAGGUGCAUGGUGUACUGUUUCGUGAAGGUGCUUAUCUGCACCACACAUUCCGAGAAAUAUUAUCUCCUUGCAGCACCAAGCCCUUGAAAAAUUGGGGUAUUUGUUCGAAAGUUCAUAGUUGCACAGUCGAUCAAGAAAUUCCAUGGUCAGUGAUGCCCACUGUUAUAGUCCACGUAUUUAUACUCUGUAAUGUGAGAUUUAUUUUAAUAUUACCUUAUCUAUUCCUACAUCGUCUAAGCGGUCUCUUCUCCUGGAAAGUUUCCCGACCAAAAUUCUGUUCACAUAUCUUAUUCAGAAUACGAGAACCCCAAUCUAAACUAAUAUUUCAUGUUUGUCCCUCCCGUAUACAUUGCUUGUCCUCCUUCCAGUAACCAAUAUCGCUUCACUAUUACCAGACAUCUCAACCAUUUCGUUGUUUCUCUCUUAAUUCUCUGGAAAGAUUCAGAACAAACCAUGAUAUGAAACUGGAACAGACAACAGGAGAUUUUAUGAGCGAAAGGUGUAGUGAAUUACAGUGUUUUUAACUUUUCAGCAACAUUUGUACAAAUUGUCACUUAAAAAAAUUCCAUGAAUGAUGUCCAAAAUAUAUUUAAGACGUUAAUAAUUGUUUAUUGUGUUUAGGAAGUUACUGGUGAAUUUGAGCAGUUAAUAUUACAAAAAAUCACAAAUUGAACCUUCAAAAUUAGAGUAUACAUUUCGUUCUGAAAUGCAUUUGCGUAUGUACGGCACAUAAUACACCUCAAAGUAUCUUCUUUCACUCUGAGUAGCUUCUCCAUUAUCUGCUGUAAUAUGAGCUGUGAUUCUGGGUCAGAGGCAUCGUCUUUCAAAACUGUGGCAAGGUCGCAUCUCUGCGUAAAUGUGCGUAAUUCAGUGGCCUUUUAAGCAUCGUAGGUUUCACAGUUAAAUCCCCGAGG